AUUGAACGCUGGCGGCAGGCCUAACACAUGCAAGUCGAGCGGAUGAAGGGAGCUUGCUCCUGGAUUCAGCGGCGGACGGGUGAGUAAUGCCUAGGAAUCUGCCUGGUAGUGGGGGAUAACGUCCGGAAACGGGCGCUAAUACCGCAUACGUCCUGAGGGAGAAAGUGGGGGAUCUUCGGACCUCACGCUAUCAGAUGAGCCUAGGUCGGAUUAGCUAGUUGGUGGGGUAAAGGCCUACCAAGGCGACGAUCCGUAACUGGUCUGAGAGGAUGAUCAGUCACACUGGAACUGAGACACGGUCCAGACUCCUACGGGAGGCAGCAGUGGGGAAUAUUGGACAAUGGGCGAAAGCCUGAUCCAGCCAUGCCGCGUGGGUGAAGAAGGUCUUCGGAUUGUAAAGCACUUUAAGUUGGGAGGAAGGGCAGUAAGUUAAUACCUUGCUGUUUGGACGUUACCAACAGAAUAAGCACCGGCUAACUUCGU
rnacentral:rRNA from 1 species